GCAGAACGCGAAGAACCUUACCAAGGCUUGACAUCCACAGGAUCUGCUAGAAAUAGCGGAGUGUCCAAAAGGAAACUGUGAGACAGGUGGUGCAUGGCUGUCGUCAGCUCGUGUCGUGAGAUGUUGGGUUAAGUCCCGCAACGAGCGCAACCCUCGAUGCUAGUUACCAUCAUUAAGUUGGGGACUCUAGCGUGACUGCCGGUGAUAAGCCGGAGGAAGGUGAGGACGACGUCAAGUCAUCAUGCCCCUUACGUCUUGGGCUACACACGUCCUACAAUGGCAUAGACAAAGGGCAGCAAGUUAGCGAUAACAAGCGAAUCCCAUAAACUAUGUCUCAGUUCGGAUUGCAGGCUGCAACUCGCCUGCAUGAAGUUGGAAUCGCUAGUAACCGUAGAUCAGCACGCUACGGUGAAUACGUUCCCCGGGUCUUGUACACACCG
rnacentral:rRNA from 1 species